UUGACUCAGGGAGGUAGUCACGAGAAAUCUUAGAUCGGCCCAAGCUGGCUGAGUACAUGAUGGAUNGAAUAUAAACCAUUCUUUGAAAUCAAUUGGAGGGCAAGUCUGGUGCCAGCAGCCGCGGUAACUCCAGCUCCAUUAGUGUAUCUUAAUGUUGUUGCAGUUAAAAAGCUCGUAGUUGAAUUUCUGGGGGGGUGUUUCAAGGUACGUCCUGAUUCUGCCCCCUCAUCCGCUUUGGAACCAGGAGGGAUAUUAAGUUAUCGGCCUGGGGAAGGGGCAUUUUACUUCGAAGAAAUUAGAGUGUUCCAGGCAGGCUUUGCUUGAAUACAUCAGCAUGGAAUAAUGGAAUAGGACAAUGUUCAUUUUAUUGGCUAUUGAACUUGUAAUGAUUAACAGGGACAGUUGGGGGCAUUCGUAUUCAUUUGUCAGAGGUGGAAUUCUUGGAUUAACUGAAGACGAACUAAUGCGAAAGCAUUUGCCAAGGAUGUUUUCAUUAAUCAAGAACGAAAGUUAGGGGAUCAAAGACGAUCAAUACCGUC
rnacentral:rRNA from 1 species